rnacentral:rRNA from 1 species
UACGUAGGGUGCGAGCGUUGUCCGGAAUUAUUGGGCGUAAAGAGCGUGUAGGCGGCCAGGUAGGUCUGCUGUGAAAACUCGAGGCUUAACCUCGAGCUGUCGGCGGAAACCAUCUGGCUAGAGUCCGGAAGAGGAGAAUGGAAUUCCCGGUGUAGCGGUGAAAUGCGCAGAUAUCGGGAAGAACACCCGUGGCGAAGGCGGCUCUCUGGGACGGUACUGACGCUGAGACGCGAAAGCGUGGGGAGCGAACAGG